UGGGUGAUCUGCCCUUCUCAUCGGAAUAAGCGUUGGAAACGACGUCUAAUGCCGAAUACGACCUCCUUUCUCAUGAUCGGAGGUGGAAAGCUCCGGCGGAGAAGGAUGAGCUCGCGGCCUAUCAGCUAGUUGGUGUGGGUAAUGGCCCACCAAGGCGACGACGGGUAGCCGGCCUGAGAGGGUGGCCGGCCACACUGGGACUGAGACACGGCCCAGACUCCUACGGGAGGNAGCG
rnacentral:rRNA from 1 species